AUCUUAAAAACAAAUAUUUUUUUUUUUAAAUAAUCUUUUUUUUAGAACUUUUGUUAUUUUUAUUUAUUUAAUCUUUUAUUUUUUAUUUUAAAAGCAUAAUAUAAUUUGGUAAGUUAUUUUGUUUUCUUAAUUAAAAGAUACUAGAUCUAAAAUGACAACUUUCUAUUGGUUGGUGAACCUAAAGGUUCGCUCUAGGGGGUGAACCCAAAAAUAACUCUUAAUAUAUUAGAUGCACAAACCAUUUACACAUCGAUCAUAUAUUAGAUGCACAAACCAUUUACACAUCGAUCACUCAUACAUAUUAUCCAUUUCGACUGAGAAGCAAAACGAAUAAUGAUAGUAUGUUAGUUGACACAAAUAAUAAAAACAUGUGAAUGCUACGAUAUACGGAUGCACUUAUCCGUGCAUACGUAUAAACUACUGAAUAUAGAUCAUAUAUACUACAGUAUAUUUUUUGUUAAAGAUCUAUACUAUACGGCACGUAAAAAAAGAGACGAGAGAGAGAGAGAGAGAGAGAGAGAGAGAGAGAGAGAGAGAGAGAGAGAGAGGCGUGAUGUGAAGAAAACAUGGACACUGUGGGUGCUUUGUAGGGUUUGAAGCCGACAUUUUUAUCUGUAAUAUAUUUCUGAAUCAAGUUAUGUAAAAAGGAGAGUCCAAUUAUUUGUCUCUUCUGAUAUUUUUGUUUUUGUUUUCUAAUUCCAUAUCCUUCUUUAUUAUUAUUAGUAUUAUUUUAACUAAAGGAACGAUAUUCCUUAUCUUCAUGUAUUAUAAUGCCAAUCCUACUAUAUAAAAAGAGCUAAAUCCUAGCUUCCUAAGCCUUGCCACAUGAGCAAAAUAAUCAGAACCAACCAUUAUGCCAUGUCAUUUUGGACUGUGUUUUAAAAAAAAAAACCAACCAUUAAAAUAUGUGAAGAGUCACGGUUUAACCCGGUUCAAUUCCAGUUACAUUACAUCAUAAUAAAAAAUGCAUGCAUUGAUUGUUGAUUAUUAGGCUUCUAGCUACCACAUCUUUGACAUCCUAAAUCAAAAUCGAUUUCUACAACUUUAACUUGCCCCAUACUUAAUAUUCUUAUAGCUGGUGAACAAUUUAAUUUAGGAAAUCGUUAUAUUUUAUGCCAAAAAUCCUACUGCUUUCAUUGAAAAUUAAAUAACAUAUAUUCUACCAUUAGGACCAAGAACUCUAAUCUCAAGACCAUAUAUGCAUCCCCUCUCACUCUGAAAAAACCACCACCGCCAACCGUUCAAGAUUUUGUGUAAGUCAAUAUUGAAAGUCCCAAUUUUGUCAAUUUCUUGGCGUAAGUGAUAUGUUUAAGAGUUGGAUAGUUAAGUCCAUAUACGGUUGGGGACGUGGGGUUUGGCUCACCUUCCACUGUUUAUUUUCAAUUGUUUUAAUAAUAGAUUCAUAUUGAUAAUAUGUGCGAACAAACAUAUAAGAUUUUAAUUGGUUAAGAUUAAACAUAGACCGACAAUCUUCCGUCUUUAGCUAUUGGUCUCCGCCAAAUUUUUUUGAUUUAAUAUAAUAGUUCCUGCCUGCUAAGCUACUAUAAUUGUAGUUCACAUCUAUCGGUCAUAUAAAAUAUUUAGUUUUUUUUUUGGCUUUAUAAGAUUUUAGUUUGUAAUUAAUCUCAUGGUUCGAUUUUAUCCAUUGGGACCUUUUUCACUAUGUUUUAUUAUCAAACCAUUUCACUUUGCCUAAUAUUUAAAUAUUCUUUCCUUUGUUUAAGGAUUAAUUUUUCCUCAAUACCAUGGUCAAACCAACCGCCAAAGAUCCUCCGCCUUAUGGGAGGUAUUUUGAAUUUACAAGUACAUUUUUGAAUCAAAAACAUUAUUAGUAUUGAUAUAUUAGUUUAAUACUUUAAUCAAAACUUUAAUAAAACAAAUAUAAAAUACAAAUUAUGUUUUAUAUAUAUAUAUAUAUUUUUAUAUUUUUGACUAUUUACAUCUUAUUAAAUUUGAAGCGCACAAAAAAAAAAGGUUAUAUCUUAUUUGAUAAGAUUCCAUAUAUGUAAAUGAAAUGCUACGUUUUGAUUUUUAUUUAUUGCUACGAAACGUUUUAAAAACUUGAGAAAAGGUAAAAAUACAGACGACAUGACCGGCCACUCCUUUUCCCCCGGUUUGCAAGAAUCUAAUUGAGUUGCUUAAUAUUUGUUCCAAAUUAAUAUAUAGUCUCAUUAUAAUCAUAAAUUAAUAAUCUAUCUCUAUAUAAUUUUAUAUAAGUACUAAAUAAAGAUAUUUUUAUUCAUUUUAUAGUUACAAAACUCUAAUAAAAAAAAUAUAAACAUUAUUAGUAAAAUAUAUUUUUUAUUUAAAAAUACAAAUUAUGAAAGAAACCACAAUUAGUUCUUAAUAAAAAAACUCUGCUCCCAACUGUAUCAACAGAUUCGUCAUUCACCCCUAGAAAACACAUAUAGGCAUAAUUAAAUGCUUUGGCAAAAAAAAAAAUAUUUUUGUGAUGAAGAUUCUUAGAUGAUGAUUGUUUUCUAUACAAACAUGCACCUCUUCACCAUUGUUUUAAUCCCAGGAAAACGGGUAGGAAUUUAUUAACACAAAUAUUAACAUAUUUUAAUUAAAUAUGUAAUCCGCGCGGAGCGCGGACACCGGCUCUAGUAUGAAUAACGAGACUCGAAGCUGGAAUAUAGAAUUACAUAUAAUGUUUUUUUUUGGUGUAAAAUUACAUAUGAAUGUAUUUUGACAACGUUCAUAAUUACAUAUGAAUGUUGUCAAAAUAAAAUAAAAAUAUAUUAUAUAUGGAUAAUUUUUAUUACGAUUUACUAUGCAAAUUUUAACUCGUGCAUCAGUUUGAAACUAUUGUAAUUAAAUAUUUUACAGUAUUUUUUAUAAAUAGUAUAAAGCGAUAUACUUGUAUGUUUUCGUCCAUGGCCAUCAUAAAACUCAAUUUUACCGUCUACAGUGCCUACAUAGUACAUACUCACAGUAAAAUGUGAUGGAUAAAGUUCAAAGUAUGAUUGAUAAUUAUAAGCUAUUACUUUAAACAGACAGAAAACAGUCAAAACACAUGUAAAGAAAUCAUAAUAAUUGUAAUAAUUAAGUGUAGGAGAUGCAAUUUUUGUCUGUGGUUUAAUUAAAGUGAGCAGCUAGUGGAUGGAGGGGUGAAUUAGUUGCAAUGAAUAGGCAUUUUGGUAUGUAUUAUUGGUAGGCCAAUUAUGUUUCUUGACCACAUUAUUAGAUAUUUUAGUCAAAUACUUAAAGAUCUGCCAUGGCUCUCUUUAUUUCCAUGCUUACUAAUUAUUAACCUAGUUUUAUCCUAUCGCCACUACUUAUUUAUCCUUUUUAGAUUCUAGAUUAAGUAAUUACGUAAGGUCGUAAACUUCCAAGGGGUAGACCUACAUUUGGAAGUAAAAACAAAACUAUAGAGAUGUGCUUUAAUGGUUUUGUUUGUAUAUAUAUAUUUUGUUCUUAUUGCUGGUUCAACAAGAUUCGAUUGUAUUUGAUUAAUCUCUUCUAGCUUCACUGUUGACAAUGUAAAAAAACGGGGCCCAAAAUAAGCCCAUUAUUUGAUUAAUAGACUUUAUACAAUACGGAAUUCAUUCAAAGUCCAUGGGAAAAGUACCUAUCUAUCUACUCUAUUAAAUAGAGUCCUAAAUUUAUCUACCAUUAAAGUUAUCAUUUAAGUUUUGGACUGUUUCAAGUUUGUUAGUGUGUUACAUAAUUUAUGGACCAUAUCCUAUUAAUUACAAUUAAUUAUACAAUAAAAUUAAAACCAAAUAACUUAAAUUAAACCAACAAUAUAUUAUAUUAUAACAACCAAACGAAUUAUGUUCUAUUGAAUUAUGUUCUAUCUACUCUAUUAAACUAUACCGUAUAUUUACAAUUAUACUAGCAAUUCAAUAACUCUCACUUGGACCUCUUUUACAAUAGAUUAAACUUUGCUCUAAGUUGAUUUAUAAUUUUCUCUUAUCAACAUCAUAUAAUUUUCUCUAUACCGAACAUGUAUAUGUUUGGUUCCUCUUUGCUUCUAUAAUAGACUAGAUAUGAUAACUCUUUUUACACCUCAUUUUGUAUAUAUGUUACUUGGCUCUAAGUUGAUUGAUUUUGUAUUAGGCUUAGAGAUACAUGCCAUUAUGAACACAUGACUUAGAGACUUAGAGAUACCUGUCAUUAUAUAAACUUCCUUAAUAUAAUUUCAAAAGUGUCAAAAUAUGAUAUCUAUUUAUAAAAAUCUAUUUAAAAAAAAAGAGAGUAUAAGUUAGGAAUUACAUGUAUUAUUUAUUUAAAAAAUAUUUGUAACUACUAAUUUCGAAAAUAUAAUCCUUAUCUACAAGAAAAUUACAAAGAUAUUAUUCAGCAAAUAUUUCAAAAAUAUAAUCCUUAUCUACAAGAUUCUUAACAAGAUAUUAUUCAUACUAACUUGACUUGCACACCAAAUAAUUGAUAACAACUUAAUACAAUUUAUUUAUUACGAGAUUCUCUCAUAUUUGAAAGUUUAUAUUUUUAAAAUAAAUUAAACAAUCACAUUAACUAUAUAAUAAAAAAUUAGAUUUUUUCUUAUAUGUUAUAUUUUGAAUUUUUUAAAACGUCUAUAAAUUACUAAAUCUCAGUCGAUACAACAAAGAUUUAUUUAGAAGCUAUUGAAAUCACCUAGCGAGAAUAUGGAUUGCACAACAAAUUUGCUUUCGUGACCUUUACUCCCUUUCUCUUCGUCACAAUACCGAAAAUGAAUAAUUUGAAAGUGUCGAUUAAAAAUCUGAAAUGGUAAUGUUUUCUUUAGUUCAGUCCAUUGUUUUCCUUAACUAGAUGGGUCACGUACAUUGAAGAAUGUAUUUUGGCCUAAAAAUGAUUGCAUACCCAAAAUCAAUACGAAUCAUCAUCAAUUUCGUUUAAAAUUUUGUUACAAUAAAAAAUAUAGGUUUGGGCAAAAAAUCUGAAUCCAAAAAAUCAUACCAAAUAUAAUCCGAAAGGUAGUAAUGAACUUUAAUCAAAAUUGGUUAGAUAUCCGAACGGGUUCAAAAUUUUGGUAUCUAGAGAACCAGAAUGGAACCGGAUCCGAAACAAACUAUUUCGGGUAUCCGAAUAUAUUCGAACCAUAUUUAUAUACUUCAAUAUAUUAAUUAUUUUUAAAUUUAAUAUUUAAAGAAUAUACAAAAUAUAUAAGAUGUUUUUAAGUUGUCCAAAAUACUUAAAAAUAUAUAUAAAUAGUUAAAAGUACAUAUUUAAAAUAGUUAAAGGAUACUCAAAAUACCAAAAUUACUUAAAAUAUCUAUUUAUUUCAUAUCCAAAUAUUUAAGGUAAACCAAAUUUUAUUUUAAGUUUAGGUAUUUUGGCAUACAUUAUUCAAAUUUAUAUGUUAUAUAUUAUUUUUAUUUUUAGAUUUUGAGAUAUUUAAAGUAUAUAUGAAUUUUAUUUUGUUUUUAAAGUUAAAUGAGUUAUCCGAAUCCAAACUCAAACCAAACCCGCAAAGAUUCAAAUUAAAUCGAACUCGCAAAGAUCAUAACAAACCGAACCGAACCAAAUCGAACCGAACCAAAUGGUACCCGAGUGUCUACUCCUAAGAUUCAAAUGUAAAAAAAAAGUUAUUCAUAGCAAAGUAUACUAUUUAAAUACAACGUAUUUUUAAAAAAUCACUCCGCGCAAAGCGCGGGUUAUCAUCUAGUUCUAUUAUUAAAAGAGAAACAUUCUGAAAAAAUCUACCUAUACAAAAUUACUGCACCCUUUCAUUUAAGUAACACUUAUUUGGUCUUACCAUCUAUUAAUCUAAUAACAAAUUAUAACUGUAUAUUUAACUAACUAUUAUAACCGUACGUUUACCUAACAUACUUAUUUCGCCACAUAUAAACCGCUAAUAUACCAACUUUAUAUUUGACAGACCAAAACAUGUUCUACACGAUAAAGUAGAACACAAUACAUGUUAUACACAAGACACUAAUACACUAUAUAGUUCAUUCAUUGAGUGAAUGAAUACGUUAUUCACAGAUUUGUACAAUAAUCAUAUCACAUUUAUUCCUCUUUUAGACCCAAACGACAAGAUGUCAAUACUCUCAUUCAAUUGAGAGAGCAUAUUAUACCCUAACCUCAAUGAAAGAACACAUUCAUUCUCAAUCUGCCAAAACAUUAGUGCUUAAAUAGUUAUAUACUCAGUCCAUCUUUUAUUAUUUCAUUCUCAUCUAUCAAAGUUAAAAUCUGUUUUUAAGAAAUCGGAUAAGUUUUAUAAUAACCACGUUUUCCUGACUAUUGUUAGAAUAUGUUACCAAAUAUUGUUACUAAUUUUAAAAAGGAUUUAAUCAUUAUUUUAUUAAUUUACAAAUUUUGUACUAACAACCAUAAUAAUUUGCUAGCAUAAAUUUCUCUAAUGUAUUUUAACUGACUGGAUUUUCAAAAAAAUCUGUUCAAAACGAUUUUAAUUACAUUAAAUCCGAAAUUUUAGAAUACUUGAUAUACAUGUUUCGUAUUAACUACAAUACGUGAUAACUUUGUGUGCAAAAAAUAUAUGCUACCUACUUUAACUGGAUAAACAUUAAUUCCUAUAAAUUUAUAUUCCAAUAAUAUUCCUUAUACAUCCAACUAGAAAAUCAUAUUGGAUCUUCUUAAUAUUCAACCCUAAAUAUGCGUACCCUACAACCACGGAAAUCACUCCUAUUAUAAAUACAGCUUGUGUUAACUCAUAGCAUCGUAAAAUAUAUUGAUACGAAACAAUGGCAAACAAUAUGCAGCUCUCUUUCUUGAAUAAAAUCAAACUGCACAAGACUGCUUGGUGCAUUCAAGUGAAAAUCCUCCAUUCAUGGAGAUUUUUCGUUAAAGGUGUUGGUGAAUCUAUGGAACUCAUCCUAAAUGAUGCACAUAAAACGUGAUGGACUUUGGACGACUUUAAAAAUUAGAAACCACCACCAGAAGGUCCAGAACUAUUAUAAUUUAAAACCUGAUGGGCUUAAACCCAUUACACAAACAAAAUAAUUUAAAUAUAUUAAAGCAAAAGCCCAUCUCAUAAAAAUAUAUUAAAGCAAAAGCCCAUCUCAUAAUAGUUAAACAUCUAACAAUAUUUUGUUUUAAAAAUUUUAGAUUCUUAAUCAAAAACAAAUAAUAUUUUAUAUUAUUGAUUUUUCUGUAUUUUGAUAGUUAAUAUGAAGGAAAAUUAUUUAUAAGUGGAAUUGUUUCCAUAUAUAUUUUUAGUUCAGUUUACAAAUAUUUUUAAAACUAAAUAUACAAAUUCCAUUUUCAAACCGAACACCGCAUAAAAACACGUUAGCUCGGCUCCGUAUAUAAUACAUUUUAAAAUGUUCCUUCUUAAUCGAUAUUCCUUACAAAUGAGUAUGUUCAUACACAUCAUCUUAUAAAACUUCAUUUAAAACAAUAUUUUUAACGAAGACAAACCCGCGCUUUCGAAGAGCGGGUCAAAAUCUAGUUACAUUUUAAAAAGCCUUUUCUACGAGUGUUUCGGUUCCAUAUUCAUCUCAAAUGAUAAUGGAGUAUAAAUGACAAUACAAUGUGAAAUGCUUGUAGAAGUUAAAAAAAUAUUAAUAAACUUUUUGGGUAGAGAAAAUCUUUGGAAUAGUUUAUUAGCAAGUUUUGUCUCGUGUGUCUCUGUAUGCAUGUUAUGGAACCAGAUUUAGAAGAUCUUUUACGCAGACAUAUUUGAUACGAUAUUUAAAUAUUAUGGUGGUUAAAGACCCUUAAGAUCUUUACAUAUGAUCAUGAUUAAUCUGGAAGAUCUGAAACAAUUUUUUGUUUUGUUUUUAAUUUGCUUCUUACCGUAUGGAAUACGAAUAUAUAGUCAGUGAGAAGUGGGUAUUCCCUUCUCUUCAAUUUCACAGAGGAGAUUCAUUUGUCAGUGUCAAUUACAUCAUUAUACGAUAUCACCUAUCGUUGAUUUUUCCAUUUGAUCGAUUCAGCAAAGUUUGUUCCACAAAGAUAACUUGAGUAUUUUACAAACAAACUAAACAUUUUUCAAACCUGAACUGAAAACAAUGUUCUAGUACCUGAUUUCUGGACAAGUUCUGGUUCAAUCCUAAUUGUAGUACAGCAUUUGAAUUAGUAAAUGACAAUGAGAGGUAAGCAACAAUAUCACCAUUUGGAAAGAAAUAAAUGGAAGAAGACAUGGUAAGGAUCCAUGUUCGAAAUCGCGCUAGGCGUAACGCGUGCGGUAUGUCCGGGCCUAGCGAUUUAAGAAAAAAUCGAAGAUUAAUCGGAGAUUAAUUGGGAAUUAAUUUUAAGUGUUUUAUAAUAUAUAUUAGUAUUCGUACAACAAAAACAAAGAAUAUAUUGAAGUUUAGUGGUAAGUACUCUUACUAGACAUGCUCUAAACCCGGGUUCAACUCCCAAAGUAGGGUAGAUUUUUUUACUUUUUAAUUCAUGUCUUUAAUGAACAUUCAAUUACUAAAAUAUCCUUAUCUUAAUCUUCUCCAAUUUCAAUCUGCAAACCCUAAUUUCCGCCUCCUACCAUUUUUUUUACGAUUCUUCGCGAUUCUAGAUUAUUUAUGUGUGUUUUUUGUUCAAUUGUAAUAUGUUUUCAACUAUAAAUUUGAUUUUAGCAUCAAAAUUUAAAAAAGUAAAGUUUUUUUUUAAGAUCCAAGUUUCUGAGCGAUUUUGUUCAGUUCGACGCGGUUAAUGGCCGAUCAACGUUGACUCGCCGAUUAAACGCCCGAGUUGUCCGCGUUUUAGAACAUGGUGAAGACUGAGUUUUAGAAGCUGGAGAAAAACAAUUCCUCAAGGUGUCCAUGUACCAGUCGUAAAGUACUACAUGAAGUCAUACAAGAAGUGCUACGUAAAGUGAAGCUGUGUAGCUGACUUGAAGCCGACGUACAGCUAAAUUACAAGAUACUUGGAUGCUAAGCAAGCUAUGAUUUACCUUGGGGAAGGGUAAAUCAUCAAGGGAAGAUUUCCAAAAGGCUUUGAAGAAGUUUUAGAAAUAUUUCAUAAAGGAAGAUUUGUGAAUAUCUCUUCGUUGAGAAGUUGGCAAGGAUAAGCAACACAAUCUACAUGUAUAAGUAGACAGAGACGUGCCUUGGGAUAGGUACCACCUUAAGAGAAGGCCGUAAGCAUAAGGGCUUUGGUGUUGAAUUAGAGUAGACACAAAGCAUAAGGGCUAGGGGUCAUGAGGAGGCCAGAGGAGUUCUUGGGUUAGUUUGAUCUAGGAAUGUGUUAGGCUAGUGUCUCUGUCUUGUAUGUAACAUUUUAGUCAAUUCGGAAGAGAGUUAUUAAGACACUUUAUCUAUGUAAAGAUAAACCUUCAUUAUAUCAUGUUGUAAUACUUUGUGAAAUAAAUAAAAGCAUUGUACUUGUAUGUAUUACUCUUUGUAACAGACUCGUCUUGCACCUUCAAGUGGUAUCAAAGCGGGUCACCUAAGUUACUGGUGUGAUCCUGAAGGCAAGAGGGAAGACUGAAGACAGAGUACAACAGGAAGCAUGGUGGUUGAGCUGAAGCAGUGUAUGAGCGCCGAAGCAGUGUAUGGGUGCUAUAUUCUAGAACUCAAUCAUCAAGGGGGAGAUUGUUAGUGCAGUGACGACUGAGUUUUAGAAGAUGAAGAAAAAUAACUCCUCAAGGUGUCCAUGUACCAGUCGUAAAGUACUACAUGAAGUCAUACAAGAAGUUUUACGUGAAGUGAAGCUGAAGUGAAGUUGUGUAGCUGACUUGAAGACUGGACUUGAAGUCGACGUAGAGCUAAACUAUAAGAUAUUUGGAGGCUAAGAAAGCUAUGAUUUACCUUGGAGAAGGGUAAAUCAUCAAGAAAAAAUUACCAAAAAGUUUUGAUGAAGUUUUGGAAAUAUUUCAUAAAGGAAGAUUUGUGAAUAUCUUUUCCUUGAGAAGUUGGCAAGGAUAAGCUACGAAGUCUAAAUGUAUAAGUAGAUAGAGACGUGCUUUGGGAUAGGUACCACCUCAAGAGAAGGCCGUAAGCAUAAAGACUUUGGUGUUGAAUUAGAGUAGACACAAAGCAUAAGGGCUAGGGAUCAUGAGGAGGUCAUAAGGGUUCUUGGAGUAGUUUGAUCUAGAAACGUGUUAGGCUAAUGACUCUAUCUGGAAUGUGACAUGUUAGUCAGUUCAGAAGACAGUUAUUAAGACACUUUAUCUAUGUAAAUAUAAACUUUCAUUAUAUUCUGCUGUAGUACUUUGUGAAAUAAAUAAAUGUAUUGUACGUGUAUGUAUUAUUAUGUGUAACAGACUCGUCUUGUACUUUCAAAUUGCUCUAUAUUCAAUCAUGUCGGAACUAAUAAGGGAGAAGUUGAAGAAAGAAGAGAGAAAAUAAGGAUUAGUUAAUAUAGUUGGUGCCAAUGCCAAAAGAAAUGUUCAACAUUCAAUCAUUUCUAAUCAUUACGAUACAAUGAUUGGGUUAAGACUGAAAACUAACAUGAUUUAUAAGAUUUUAAUCAGCAUACAAACACAAAGUAGCUACCAAAAAAAGUUAUAAAACAUAUAUGUAACUUUGAUUUGGUUAUGAGAUUAGAUUCUCAUGAUGAUUAAGUCGCCCAAUGUGUUCUAUCAUUAAACCUUUUCAUUUUCUUAAAAAUAGGAUAUCAAAUGGCGAUUCUGAUUAUAUCUUGGUAUAGAUCACGUUCAUGUCCAUGCCAGAUCUGUAAUUGGUUAUCUUCAGGUUAAUUGAUUUUUAAUUAUUAAAAUUUCUACAAUCUUGAUACUCUGGUUAAAACAUCGUCUAAUAUAAACGAAAGGACCUCCUCGUACAGAUAAUAAUGAGUCGUACUUUUAUUUGUAAACUGUGGGUAUGAUUGAUCCCUUCAGUAUAACAUUUUUUCAAUGAUUUGAAUAUUCAAAGUGCAUUUUAAUAUCAUUUUAAUAUUUGUAAAUUUUCUAUUGCAUCUUCCUUGGUAUAACUUAACUAUACAAUGAUAUGGUUUCUUUUGAAUGCUAGUUGUGAAAAGACUAUUUCAUUUCCACGUUUUUAGAGUUUGAGUGACAAUAAAAUUGAUUUUAUGGGGGAGAGCAUUUUAACCGAACCGACAAGACUUUGGUUAUAGAUUCUUUGUAGGUUUGCUGAAACAAAACAAAAUCAAUUUUAUAUUAAACCACACGCACAAAAGAUCAAAAUGUCAUACAUGUUAGAUCCGUUUAACUCGAGAUCAAGCUCUAAAAUGAACUGUGGAACCUCCUCAAACCUAUUUGUUACAGUUAUACCAUCUUGAGAUAAAGAGAACUAGCUUAGACAAAAAAAAACAGAGCAGCAAGCAAUAAGGAGAAAUUGACGAGUUCGUAAAUACGCCAAGAAGACAUU